rnacentral:lncRNA from 1 species
CUGAACUAAGCACUUGUUUAUAUGUAUCAGUCGAUUGUGGGAGAUAUGACCAAAUAGGCUGAUUGUCCUGUUCUCAGACUGAAUUAUCUUCUCUUCGGCCUAGUCACAAGGACUUAAUAAACCUAGAUAGGAAUGUAUUUCAAUCCUUCCAGCCUACACAUAUAAGUGGUUAAAGUAAGAGUUGAACCAAUUUAAACCCAGUAGUGUCAGUUUUCCUUAUCACAGCCCAAAUAGAAAUUAAGAAAUAUCCCAAAUGUUGAUGGUUAUCCAAGCAUCUGGAGAUGGGAGAAGGAAAGAAUUGAUGCCCAGGAGAUGGGACUGGAGUAAGGAUUUUUUUUUUUUUUUUUUGCGCGUGCCCCACGUUAUUUCUACUGUGCUUUAUUGUGAGUGUUGUAACAUUUGAAGAAUACUUUUGCCAUAGCUCUUUGGUACUUGGUGUUAAAGGAACCAGUGGUCUCUCUUGGGUGGUGUACUCUAGUGAGUUAUUAGGACCCACGGCUAUGUGGGACUGCAUCCCUUGCAAAUGACACAACCCCGAAAGUAACAAAAUAAAAAACCACUCCACCAAGGAGGUUUCUUUAUGUUGCCACUCCUAUUUAAAGACAAACUUGGGCAGGGAGCAUGUUUUCUGUUCUAUACAAAAUCUAGCUGACUGUGGGUAUUCCUAUUUUAAUUGUUGAGUGACUUACAUGUUCUUGAUGACUAAACUCAAAUAUGUCUUCUCGUAUCAGUGUUGCUGAUGGUUGCAGUGAAUAUCAGAGUUCUCCUGUUGUUUCUGUAUGCCACUACGGGCAUGAGCUUUGGAGUGGCCGUGGGAGACACCAUCUCCAUGACCCAACUGUAUUUCAUCCCCUUUUCCUUCCCUACUCUCCUGCCCCACCCUAGCCUGUUCCUGCUGCUGCUUUUGGCUUCUAAAUGCCCCAGCCAUCUCUCCAUACAUCUACACUCCAGCUGAGAAGUUAAGAGGGCUAGGGCCAGACCAGCUCAGUCUCCUCUCUUUCUGCCAGUUGCUGCCCAUUUGCUGUGCUGAACUUUGUGUAGAAGUCAUGCAUUGGACUCUCUUUGCUAAUGCUUUUUGCAUGCCUUCUGCUCCCAAGUCGCUGCUGCUUCUGCACAUCCCCUGAACACUUUGUGCCUGUUUUCUAUGGUUGUGGAGAGUGAGUGAACAACUUCUCCAAAAGUGGUUUUGUUUUUCCUUCUGGGAGAGAUUGAGGCCGAUGACAUCAGAAUCUCACUUUGAGUUUCACACCAUCCCCUCCAGCUGCCUUGUGAACGUCUCCACUUGGAAAUUACCCCCAGGCACCUUGAAAUCCAACCCCACGCUGAAUUGACCUGACCACUUUUUUCCACUACUGCCCGCCUGCUUCUCCUGCAUUUCCUAACUCCAUCAUUGCCUAGGUAU